rnacentral:rRNA from 1 species
GUAGUCCACGCCGUAAACGAUGGAUACUAGCUGUUGGGAGCAAUCUCAGUGGCUAAGCGAAAGUGAUAAGUAUCCCACCUGGGGAGUACGUUCGCAAGAAUGAAACUCAAAGGAAUUGACGGGGGCCCGCACAAGCGGUGGAGCAUGUGGUUUAAUUCGAUGAUACGCGAGGAACCUUACCAGGGCUUAAAUGUAGGUUGACAGGCUUGGAAACAGGUUUUUCUUCGGACAACUUACAAGGUGCUGCAUGGUUGUCGUCAGCUCGUGCCGUGAGGUGUCAGGUUAAGUCCUAUAACGAGCGCAACCCCUGUUGUUAGUUGCCAGCGAGUCAUGUCGGGAACUCUAACGAGACUGCCAGUGCAAACUGUGA